GUGAGCGGAGGGAUCGCUCUAGGACUGGAGGUGUUGCGAAAGGCGGAGAAAAAAGUUUACCUUGCGCAAUCGCGGUGAUGAGCAUGUGUUGUUAUGUGCCGGCGAAAUUUGGAAUUCGUGGGUGGAGGCGACGUCUUUUUAGGGUGUUACCCAUACAAGUGUAAGGUAGGAUGGUGUCGAGGAAAGUUUAGUUCUCGAUACGU
rnacentral:lncRNA from 1 species